ACUCCUACGGGAGGCAGCAGUGGGAAUAUUGCACAAUGGGGAAAGCCCAUCGAUGCAGCCAUGCCGCGUGUGUGAAGAAGGCCUUCGGGUUGUAAAGACACUUUUCAGUAGGGAGGAAGGUAGUGUAGUUAACACCUGCACUAUUUGACGUUACCUACAGAAGAAGCACCGGCUAACUCCGUGCCAGCAGCCGCGGUAAUACGGAGGGUGCGAGCGUUAAUCGGAAUUACUGGGCGUAAAGCGCAUGCAGGCGGCCUGUUAAGUCAGAUGUGAAAGCCCGGGGCUUAAGCCUCGGAAUUGCAUUUGAAACUGGACAGGCUAGAGUCUUGUAGAGGGGGUGAGAAUU
rnacentral:rRNA from 1 species